CUGCAACUCGACUGCGUGAAGGUGGAGUCGCUAGUAAUCGCGGAUCAGCAACGCCGCGGUGAAUGCGUUCCCGGGCCUUGUACACACCGCCCGUCAAGUCAUGAAAGUGGGCAGCACCCGAAGACGGUGGCCUAACCCUUGUGGGGGGAGCCGUCUAAGGUGAGGCUCGUGAUUGGGACUAAGUCGUAACAAGGUACC
rnacentral:rRNA from 1 species